AUUGAACGCUGGCGGCAGGCCUAACACAUGCAAGUCGAAUGGUAACAGGAAACAGCUUGCUGUUUCUCUGACGAGUGGCGGACGGGUGAGUAAUGUCUGGGAAACUGCCUGAUGGAGGGGGAUAACUACUGGAAACGGUAGCUAAUACCGCAUAACGUCGCAAGACCAAAGAGGGGGACCUUCGGGCCUCUUGCCAUCAGAUGUGCCCAGAUGGGAUUAGCUAGUAGGUGGGGUAACGGCUCACCUAGGCGACGAUCCCUAGCUGGUCUGAGAGGAUGACCAGCCACACUGGAACUGAGACACGGUCCAGACUCCUACGGGAGGCAGCAGUGGGGAAUAUUGCACAAUGGGCGCAAGCCUGAUGCGGCCAUGCCGCGUGUAUGAAGAAGGCCUUCGGGUUGUAAAGUACUUUCAGCGGGGAGGAAGGGAGUAAAGUUAAUACCUUUGCUCAUUGACGUUACCCGCAGAAGAAGCACCGGCUAACUCCGUG
rnacentral:rRNA from 1 species